AUUGAACGCUGGCGGAAUGCUUUACACAUGCAAGUCGAACGGCAGCACGGGGGCAACCCUGGUGGCGAGUGGCGAACGGGUGAGUAAUACAUCGGAACGUGCCCGGUCGUGGGGGAUAACGUAGCGAAAGUUACGCUAAUACCGCAUACGAUCUGAGGAUGAAAGCGGGGGACCUUCGGGCCUCGCGCGAUCGGAGCGGCCGAUGUCAGAUUAGGUAGUUGGUGGGGUAAAGGCCUACCAAGCCGACGAUCUGUAGCUGGUCUGAGAGGACGACCAGCCGCACUGGGACUGAGACACGGCCCAGACUCCUACGGGAGGCAGCAGUGGGGAAUUUUGGACAAUGGGCGCAAGCCUGAUCCAGCCAUUCCGCGUGCAGGACGAAGGCCUUCGGGUUGUAAACUGCUUUUGUAUGGAACGAAAAGGCUCUGGCUAAUACCUGGGGCUCAUGACGGUACCGUAAGAAUAAGCACCGGCUAACUACGUG
rnacentral:rRNA from 1 species